AACGAACGCUGGCGGCAGGCCUAACACAUGCAAGUCGAGCGAGAAAGUUCCUUCGGGGAUGAGUAGAGCGGCGGACGGGUUAGUAACGCGUGGGAACAUACACAGCACUGGGGGAUAACCAUUGGAAACGAUGGCUAAUACCGCAUACGCCCUGAGGGGGAAAGAUUUAUCGGUGUUGGAUUGGCCCGCGUUAGAUUAGUUAGUUGGUGGGGUAAUGGCUCACCAAGGCGACGAUCUAUAGCUGGUUUGAGAGGAUGAUCAGCAACACUGGGACUGAGACACGGCCCAGACUCCUACGGGAGGCAGCAGUGGGGAAUAUUGCACAAUGGGGGAAACCCUGAUGCAGCCAUGCCGCGUGAGUGAAGAAGGCCUUCGGGUUGUAAAACUCUUUCAGAUGUGAGGAUGAUGACGAUAACAUCAGAAGAAGCUCCGGCUAACUUCGUGCCAGCCGCCGCGGUAAUU
rnacentral:rRNA from 1 species